CCUACGGGUGGCAGCAGUGAGGAAUAUUGGUCAAUGGACGAGAGUCUGAACCAGCCAAGUAGCGUGAAGGAUGACUGCCCUAUGGGUUGUAAACUUCUUUUAUAAAGGAAUAAAACGAGGCACGUGUGCCUGUUUGCAUGGACUUUAUGAAUAAGGAACGGCUAAAUCCUUGCCAGCAGCCGCGGUAAUACUGAGGAUUCGAGCGUUAUCCGGAUUUAUUUGGUUUAAAGGGAGCGUAGAUGGGUUGUUAAGUCAGUCGUGAAAGUUUGCGGCUCAAACGUAAAAUUGCAAUUGAUACUGGCAGUCUUGAGUACAGUUGAGGUAGGCGGAAUGCGUGGUGUAGCGGUGAAAUGCUUAGAUAUCACGAAGAACCCCGAUUGCGAAGGCAGCUUACUAACCUGUGACUGACAUUGAUGCUCGAAAGUGUGGGUAUCAAACAGGAUUAGAUACCCCUGUAGUC
rnacentral:rRNA from 1 species